rnacentral:lncRNA from 1 species
UUACUUAGUGUUUUCAAAAUUAAAAUAAUUUUAACUGUAAUAUACUAAAGCUUAUAAUGGAUUUUUUUUUAAAUUAACCAUGUUUUUGAAAUUAAAUACGAUAAUAACCAAGAUUUCAAAAAAUUUCCCAAAAUAACCAUGUCUUUUAAGGGAUGCGCCGGAGGAGUUGACGCAUCCCUUAAAAAUUUUAGGGAGCCUUAAG